rnacentral:rRNA from 1 species
GAUGAACGCUGGCGGCGUGCCUAAUACAUGCAAGUCGAGCGAACAGACGAGGAUCUUGCUCCUCUGACGUUAGCGGCGGACGGGUGAGUAACACGUGGAUAACCUACCUAUAAGACUGGGAUAACUUCGGGAAACCGGAGCUAAGACCGGAUAAUAUAUUGGACCGCAUGGUUCAAUAGUGAAAGACGGUUUUGCUGUCACUUCUAGAUGGAUCCGCGCCGCAUUAGCUAGUUGGUAAGGUAACGGCUUACCAAGGCAACGAUGCGUAGCCGACCUGAGAGGGGGAUCGGCCACACUGGAACUGAGACACGGUCCAGACUCCUACGGGAGGCAGCAGUAGGGAAUCUUCCGCAAUGGGCGAAAGCCUGACGGAGCAACGCCGCGUGAGUGAUGAAGGUCUUCGGAGCGUAAAACUCUGUUAUUAGGGAAGAACAAAUGUGUAAGUAACUAUGCACGUCUUGACGGUACCUAAUCAGAAAGCCACGGCUAACUACGUG